CAGUAGAAGGCUCAGUUUCUCUGCUCAUCACACGGCCUUCGGCACUGUAGCUUUGGGUGGUGGGCUGCAGAUUAAUUUUGUAACCACCUUAAGAAAAAUACGGAACUCUAACUCCUUGCCACUCAAGAAAUGUCCUCCCUUUCAGAAUAUGCCUUCCGCAUGUCUCGUCUCAGUGCCCGGCUAUUUGGUGAAGUCACCAGGCCUACUAAUUCCAAGUCUAUGAAAGUGGUGAAACUGUUUAGUGAACUGCCCUUGGCCAAGAAGAAGGAGACUUAUGAUUGGUAUCCAAAUCACCACACUUACACUGAACUCAUGCAGACGCUCCGAUUUCUUGGACUCUACAGGUAAUGACAAACACAAAGAGGAACCUAUGAGAGACUUUUUUUCAGUAGAUCAGAAAAGGAAAAAAAUUAGCCUUUCUAUCCUUGUAGUUUUGUUUUUAUAAUAGAGCUCAGGUAGUUCAAAAGGUACAGUUUGCAGGAGAAAGGCUUCUUUCAAAAUACCCAUAAUGGAGAGACCAAAAAAAAAAGGAAA
rnacentral:sRNA from 1 species